rnacentral:sRNA from 1 species
UGUGGAUUGGAUGAUGGC